GGUCAGCACGCCGUCCUUGGAGAGAGCGGUGCUGACGGAGUCGAUGUCGGCACCGUUGGGCAGCGUGAACUCUUUGUAGAAGGACUUGGACGACACGGAAGAGCCGUCCUCGGAUUGCUGCGGCGAGGAACGAAGGAGAGAAAACGGGCUGGCCUGCACACCACCCGUGACAUCCUGUGAUUGUGGGCGUACUAUGCGUCGGCUGCACACCUAUCAGCGAAGCAUUACGAGUCAGGAGAGGCUUUCUUCAUCGCACUCCUCCACAUUCACUACGAUGUCCCCUUCAACCUCAACUUGCUGUUGUUGACAUACACUCCAAGCUGCACCCUAGACGCCUGGAAUUGGAGUCCCUGAUCAAGCCAGAGAUGUCCUAGUAACGCCCUGCUUCUUGACAUUUUUGUAAAAUUCCUAGACUGUCAGUUUAUGACUAAGGACUGUAAGAGCUGACUAUUGCUUGAUAAAAUUGAAGUGACCACUA